GACGAACGCUGGCGGCGUGCUUAACACAUGCAAGUCGAACGGAAAGGCCCUGCUUUUGUGGGGUGCUCGAGUGGCGAACGGGUGAGUAACACGUGAGUAACCUGCCCUUGACUUUGGGAUAACUUCAGGAAACUGGGGCUAAUACCGGAUAGGAGCUCCUGCUGCAUGGUGGGGGUUGGAAAGUUUCGGCGGUUGGGGAUGGACUCGCGGCUUAUCAGCUUGUUGGUGGGGUAGUGGCUUACCAAGGCUUUGACGGGUAGCCGGCCUGAGAGGGUGACCGGCCACAUUGGGACCGAGAUACGGCGCAGACUACUACGGGAGGCAGCAGUGGGGAAUAGUGGACAAUGGGCGGAAGCCAGAUGCAGCAACGCCGCGUGCGGGAUGACGGCCUUCGGGUUGUAAACCGCUUUCGCCUGUGACGAAGCGUGAGUGACGGUAAUGGGUAAAGAAGCACCGGCUAACUACGUG
rnacentral:rRNA from 1 species